rnacentral:rRNA from 1 species
UACGAAGGGGGCUAGCGUUGCUCGGAAUCACUGGGCGUAAAGGGUGCGUAGGCGGGUCUUUUAAGUCAGGGGUGAAAUCCCGGGGCUCAACCCCGGAACUGCCUUUGAUACUGGGUAUCUAGAGUCCGGAAGAGGUGAGUGGAAUUCCGAGUGUAGAGGUGAAAUUCGUAGAUAUUCGGAGGAACACCAGUGGCGAAGGCGGCUCACUGGUCCGGUACUGACGCUGAGGUGCGAAAGCGUGGGGGAGCAAACAGGG